rnacentral:misc_RNA from 1 species
GAUGAAGAACGUAGCGAAAUGCGAUACGUAAUGUGAAUUGCAGAAUUCAGUGAAUCAUCGAGUCUUUGAACGCACAUUGCGCCCCCUGGUAUUCCGGGGGGCAUGCCUGUCCGAGCGUCAUUGCUGCCCUCAAGCACGGCUUGUGUGUUGGGCCUCCGUCCUCCUCCCGGGGGACGGGCCCGAAAGGCAGCGGCGGCACCGCGUCCGGUCCUCGAGCGUAUGGGGCUUCGUCACCCGCUCUUGUAGGCCCGGCCGGCGCUCGCCGACACAUCAAUCUUUUUUCCAGGUUGACCUCGGAUCAGGUAGGGAUACCCGCUGAACUUAAGCAUAUCAAUAAGCGGAGGA